rnacentral:rRNA from 1 species
GACGAACGCUGGCGGCGUGCUUAACACAUGCAAGUCGAACGGAAAGGCCCUGCUUUUGUGGGGUGCUCGAGUGGCGAACGGGUGAGUAACACGUGAGUAACCUGCCCUUGACUUUGGUAUAACUUCAGGAAACUGGGGCUAAUACCGGAUAGGAUCUCCUGCUGCAUGGUGGGGGUUGGAAAGUUUCGGCGGUUGGGGAUGGACUCGCGGCUUACCAGCUUGUUGGUGGGGUAGUGGCUUACCAAGGCUUUGACGGGUAGCCGGCCUGAGAGGGUGACCGGCCACAUUGGGACUGAGAUACGGCCCAGACUCCUACAGGAGGCAGCAGUGGGAAAUAUUACACAAUGAGCGGAAGCCUGAUGCAGCAACGCCGCGUGCGGGAUGACGGCCUUCGGGUUAUGAACCGCUUUCGCCUGUGACGAAGCGUGAGUGACGGUAAUGAAUAAAGAAGCACCGGCUAACUACGUG